CCUACGGGAGGCAGCAGUGAGGAAUAUUGGUCAAUGGGCGUAAGCCUGAACCAGCCAAGUCGCGUGAGGGAUGAAGGUUCUAUGGAUCGUAAACCUCUUUUAUAAGGGAAUAAAGUGUGUGACGUGUCCUGUUUUGUAUUUACCUUAUGCAUAAGGAUCGGCUAACUCCGUGCCAGCAGCCGCGGUAAUACGGAGGAUCCGAGAGUUAUCCGGAUUUAUUGGGUUUAAAGGGUGCGUAGGCGGCCUUUUAAGUCAGCGGUGAAAGUCUGUGGCUCAACCAUAGAAUUGCCGUUGAAACUGGGAGGCUUGAGUAUGUUUGAGGCAGGCGGAAUGCGUGGUGUAGCGGUGAAAUGCUUAGAUAUCACGCAGAACCCCGAUUGCGAAGGCAGCCUGCCAAGCCAUGACUGACGCUGAUGCACGAAAGCGUGGGGAUCAAACAGGAUUAGAUACCCUUGUAGUC
rnacentral:rRNA from 1 species